rnacentral:rRNA from 1 species
GUGCCAGCAGCCGCGGUAAUACGUAGGGCGCAAGCGUUGUCCGGAAUUAUUGGGCGUAAAGAGCUCGUAGGUGGCUUGUUGCGUCUGCCGUGAAAGCCCGUGGCUUAACUACGGGUCUGCGGUGGAUACGGGCAGGCUAGAGGCUGGUAGGGGCAAGCGGAAUUCCUGGUGUAGCGGUGAAAUGCGCAGAUAUCAGGAGGAACACCGGUGGCGAAGGCGGCUUGCUGGGCCAGUUCUGACGCUGAGGAGCGAAAGCGUGGGGAGCGAACAGGAUUAGAAACCCCCGUAGUCC